UAAGACAGAGGUGCCAAGCGUUAGGCGGAAUCACUGGGCUUAAAGCGUGUGUAGGCGGAUUUGUAAGUACCUUGUGAAAUCCCACGGCUCAACCGUGGAACUGCUCGGUAUACUGCUUAUCUUGACCCACUUAGGGGCUACCGGAACAAAUGGUGGAGCGGUGAAAUGCGUAGAUAUCAUUUGGAACGCCAAUGGUGAAAACAGGUAGCUGGGAGUGUGCUGACGCUGAGACACGAAAGCCAGGGGAGCGAACGGGAUUAGAUACCCCGGUAGUCCUGGCCGUAAACGAUGUCCACUAGGUCGCGGCGGCUCUGACGCCGUCGCGGCCGGAGCAAAAGUGUUAAGUGGACCGCCUGGGAAGUACGGUCGCAAGGCUG
rnacentral:rRNA from 1 species